GUCUUUAACUUUCAGAUCACGAAGAUGAUGGAGAAACUGUCAGUGCUGGGUCUCAGGGAUAGCACAGCUUUUUUGAGAAAUCUUGUGAAGACUGUCUACUGUUGGGGAGGAUGCCAUUUCAUGCCCAUGUGAAGACUUUGCAAGACCAAAAGAAGACAACCAGAAAUUGGCCCAAUGCAUGCUGUAACUGAGUUAAGGUGUUUCCAGGAUUCCUUAAAGGUUCAGGAAGAACCAGCGCACACCAUAUCCCACUGUGCAGAUUUUGGGAAUGUCUGACUGGACACAAGUCUUCAGUGAGAAGAGAAUCUUCAGAAUUGUAAAAAUGGAGGGAUCUGAAAUUUGCCGAGCAGUUGAGGUGGAGGAUGGUGUUUUUUGAAAAUGUUAAAUAAAUGCAGGUAUGUUGUGUGAAAAGUG